rnacentral:hammerhead_ribozyme from 1 species
AUCCAGCUGGCUAAUCCCGAAUAGGAUGAAACGCGCGUCAAACUGGAU